rnacentral:sRNA from 1 species
GGGACUUGAACCCUGCAGCAGGCUCCUGCUCCUGCCUCUCCUGCUGGCUGUAGGUGGUCUCCAUCCUGUCCAGGCCCAGGCCCAGAGCGGUAGGCCUACACCCAGCAAUCCCUCUCUCUACCUCCCAGAGACCUCCCUGUCUCCGUCUCUCCUGCACCCUUUCCAAACCUCCCUGCUGCUGACCCCCUCCCCACAGUUCCCAGCACACACUGACCUCCCUUGACCCCUGUGCUGCAGAUUGCAGUUGCUCUACGGUGAGCCCGGGCGUGCUGGCAGGGAUCGUGCUGGGAGACCUGGUGCUGACAGUGCUCAUUGCCCUGGCCGUGUACUUCCUGGGCCGGCUGGUCCCUCAGGGGCGAGGGGCUGCAGAGGCAGCGACCCGGAAACAGCGUAUCACUCAGACUGAGUCGCCUUAUCAGGAGCUCCAGGGUCAGAGGUCGGAUGUCUACAGCGACCUCAACACACACAGGCCGUAUUACAAAUGAGCCCGAAUCAUGACAGUCAGCAACCUGAUACCUGGAUCCAGCCAUUCCUGAAGCCCACCCUGCACCUCAUUCCAACUCCUACCGAGAUACAGACCGACAGAGCGCCAU